GCGUAAAGCGUGCGUACGCGGUUGUUUAAGUCAGAUGUGAAAGCCCCGGGCUUAACCUGGGAACUGCAUUUGAUACUGGGCAACUAGAGUUGAGUAGAGGGGAGUGGAAUUUCAGGUGUAGCGGUGAAAUGCGUAGAGAUCUGAAGGAACACCAGUGGCGAAGGCGGCUCCCUGGACUCAAACUGACGCUGAGGUACGAAAGCGUGGGUAGCAAACAGGAUUAGAUACCCUGGUAGUCCACGCCGUAAACGAUGUCAACUAACUGUUGGGUUCUUUAAGAACUUAGUAGUGGAGCUAACGUAUUAAGUUGACCGCCUGGGGAGUACGGCCGCAAGGCUAAAACUCAAAUGAAUUGACGGGGGCCCGCACAAGCGGUGGAGCAUGUGGUUUAAUUCGAUGCAACGCGAAGAACCUUACCUACCCUUGACAUCCUCGGAACUUGUCAGAGAUGACUUGGUGCCUUCGGGAACCGAGAGACAGGUGCUGCGUGGCUGUCGUCAGCUCGUGUUGUGAAAUGUUGGGUUAAGUCCCGUAACGAGCGCAACCCUUAUCCUUAGUUGCCAGCGAGUAAUGUCGGGAACUCUAGGGAGACUGCCGGUGAUAAACCGGAGGAAGGUGGGGACGACGUCAAGUCAUCAUGGCCCUUAUGGGUAGGGCUACACACGUGCUACAAUGGCCGGUACAGAGGGCAGCGAAACCGUGAGGUCAAGCAAAUCCCACAAAGCCGGUCCCAGUCCGGAUUGCAGUCUGCAACUCGACUGCAUGAAGUC
rnacentral:rRNA from 1 species